CCUACGGGAGGCAGCAGUGGGGAAUAUUGCACAAUGGGGGAAACCCUGAUGCAGCGACGCCGCGUGAGUGAAGAAGUAUUUCGGUAUGUAAAGCUCUGUCAGCAGGGAAGAAAAUGACGGUACCUGACCAAGAAGCCCCGUCUAACUACGUGCCAGCAGCCGCGGUAAUACGUCGGGGGCAAGCGUUAUCCGGAUUUACUGGGUGUAAUGGGGGCGUAGUCGGCGGGGCAAGUCUGGAGUGAAAUGCGGGGGCCCAACCCCCGGACGGCCUGGGAAACUGCGAGGCUGGAGUGAAGAGGAGGGAGGGGGAAUGCGUAGGGUAGCGGUGAAAUGCGUAGAGAUUGGGAGGAAAACC
rnacentral:rRNA from 1 species